rnacentral:rRNA from 1 species
AGGGCGCAUGGCGGAUGCCUUGGCUCUCGGAGGCGAUGAAGGACGUGAUAAGCUGCGAUAAGCUUUGGGGAGGUGCAAAUGACCUUUGAUCCAGAGAUUUCCGAAUGGGACAACCCAAUAUCUUGAAGAGGUAUUAUCUUACUAUGUAAGAGGCUAACGCAGGGAACUGAAACAUCUUAGUACCUGCAGGAAAAGAAAAUAAACAAUGAUUCCCCCAGUAGUGGCGAGCGAACGGGGAACAGCCCAAACCAUCCAUGUUACGGCAUGGGUGGGGUUGUAGGACUACGCCGUUGCAUGAAGACAUCAGAGAAGAACUUUCUGGAAAGAAAGACCAUAGAGCAUGACAGUUGCGUAUUCGAAUGUUGUCGAAGCAUAGUAGUAUCCUGAGUAGCGCGGAGCACGAGGAAUUCUGCGUGAAUCUGCCGGGACCAUCCGGUAAGGCUAAAUACUCCCGAGAGACCGAUAGCGAACCAGUACCGUGAGGGAAAGGUGAAAAGCACUUCGAACAGAAGAGUGAAAUAGUUCCUGAAACCGUGCGCCUACAAGCGGUCGGAGCUCGUUAAUGAGUGACGGCGUGCCUUUUGCAUAAUGAACCUACGAGUUGCCUUUGCCGGCAAGGUUAAGUGUGACGACACACGUAUCCGAAGCGAAAGCGAGUCUGAACAGGGCGUAUAGUCGGCAGUGGCAGACGCGAAACCAAGUGAUCUACCCUUGGCCAGGUUGAAGGCUGGGUAACACCAGCUGGAGGACCGCACCAAUAAGCGUUGAAAAGCUUCUGGAUGAGCUGAGGGUAGGGGUGAAAGGCUAAUCAAACUUGGAGAUAGCUCGUACUCCCCGAAAUGCAUUUAGGUGCAGCCUUGCGGGUUACUGAUGUGAGGUAGAGCGACUGAUAAGAUGCGAGGGCUUCACCGCCUAUCAAGUCUUGACAAACUCCGAAUGCGUGUCAGUUCUAUGUCAGGAGUGAGGGCAUGGGUGCUAAGGUCCAUGUCCUAAAGGAGAACAAUCCGGACCAACAGCUAAGGUCCCGAAAUGAAUACUAAGUUGAACUAACGAAGUCAGAUUGCUAAGACAGCUAGGAUGUUGGCUUGGAAGCAGCCAUUCAUUUAAAGAGUGCGUAACAGCUCACUAGUCGAGGAGUCGGGCGUGGAUAAUAAUCGGGUAUCAAGUUGUCUACCGAAGCAGUGGGAUCAUUAAUAUGAUCGGUAGGGGAGCAUUCCAGUCAGCGUCGAAGGCGUACCGUGAGGUAUUCUGGAGCGUCUGGAAAAGCAAAUGUAGGUAUAAGUAACGAUAAAGGGGGCGGGAAACCCCCUCGCCGAAAGACUAAGGUUUCCUGAUCAACGCUAAUCGGAUCAGGGUCAGUCGGGUCCUAAGGCUCAGCCGAACGGCGAUGCCGAUGGCAGAAACGGUUAAUAUUCCGUUACUACCUUCAGGAGUGACGUGGAGACGCAGUAGUGACAGUGCCGCCAUCUGACGGAAUAGAUGGUUGAAGGGUGUAGGAGUCGAUCAUGGCAGGCAAAUCCACCAUGAGAUCCGAACCUGACAGUAUGCCGCGUCCUUCGGGACAAGGCAAUAGUGCGCGUAAGCAUGCUGCCGAGAAAAUCCGCUAAACUUAAUCCUGCAGGUACCCGUACCGCAAACGGACACACGUAGUCGGGAUGAAUAUUCUAAGGCGCUUGAGUGAUUCACGGUUAAGGAACUAGGCAAACUGACCCUGUAACUUCGGGAUAAAGGGUCCCUACCCUUUUAUGGGAGGGCGCAGAGAAUCGGUCCAGGCAACUGUUUAACAAAAACACAGGGCUGUGCCAAAUCGAAAGAUCCAGUAUACAGCCUGACACCUGCCCGGUGCUGGAAGGUUAAGAGGAGAUGUCAUCGAUAAGAGAAGCGUUGAAUUGAAGCCCCAGUAAACGGCGGCCGUAACUAUAACGGUCCUAAGGUAGCGAAAUUCCUUGUCGGGUAAGUUCCGACCUGCACGAAUGGUGUAAUGAUCUGGACACUGUCUCAACCGUGAGCUCGGUGAAAUUGUAGUAUCGGUGAAGAUGCCGAUUACCCGCGAUGGGACGAAAAGACCCCGUGAACCUUUACUAUAGCUUAUCAUUGAAUCUGGGCACGUGAUGUGUAGGAUAGGUCGGAGGCUUUGAAGCAGGUACGCCAGUAUUUGUGGAGCCGCUGUUGAAAUACGACCCUUUAUUUGUUUGGAUUCUAACCCGUGGAACGGGGACAUUGAUUGGUGGGUAGUUUGACUGGGGUGGUCGCCUCCAAAAGCGUAACGGAGGCUUCUAAAGGUGCCCUCAGACCGAUUGGUAACCGGUCGCAGAGUGUAAUGGCAUAAGGGCGCUUGACUGGGAGACAUACAAGUCGAUCAGGUAGGAAACUAGAGCAUAGUGAUCCGGUGGUUCCGCAUGGAAGGGCCAUCGCUCAAAGGAUAAAAGGUACUCCGGGGAUAACAGGCUGAUCGCCGCCA